UCUAUCUAUCUAUCUAUAUAUAUAAAAAUGAAUUUCUGUCUGUCUGUCUGUCUGUCUGUCUGUCUGUCUGUCUGUCUGUCUGUCUGUCUGUCUGUCUGUCUGUCUGUCUGUCUGUCUGUCUGACCGCUAUGGAUUCAGAAACUACUGAACCGAUCGGCGUGAAAUUUUGUAUGCAGGGGGGUUUUAGGCCGGGGAAGGUUCUUAGCUUGGUGCGAGAUCUCUCCGGUCUCUGGAACGGGGGCUCCCAUACAGAUUACUUUUCGUGGAACGUUCCUAUGGAGCUGUAUGUUAAAAAACACAGUAGGCAGGUAGUACAGUGCAGUACGACGUUUGCGAUGGACUAAUCACAUUGGACGACCGAGAAAGGAAAACUCCCCUGCGUUUAGGGCCUUCGGCCCGAGCUAUUCGACCUCCGGUCAAUUAGGGUUAGGCGUGGAAACCAUUCCCGAUUCCGCGGGCUGAGCCGUGUGCUGGACGGAGACCUAUUGAUAGGUCAAAACAAAGAGCUACCUCUGGGCUGGAUGGAAAGAUUCUCGACAACGUCGCUACUGAGACCAAUCAUUAUCUUCAAGAAAAUCACGAGUGCUACCAACGCGAUGUGAACCAUGCAGGGAUGCAGGGCUUCCUGUUCUUCGAUGAACCAAUGCGCACCAACCAAACACUCCUGCCCACCACACAAACAAGAACGACAUUGACGUGAUUGCCAAACCGAAAGGGGCAUUCAAGGAACGGCCAGAUGUACGAACUCCCAAGCCGGUCCACCAGGACAACAAGAAAUCUUUCGCAAAAUUCCGAAGCUGGUGAAGCGGCCAGUACUCUGUGACGGCCGAGCAGCUGCCCAAUCAGAUCUCCAGACCAUCUUGCUGAAGGACACCAACGAGAUAAUGUUGUCCAUGUUGGUCAAUCGGUGGUAGGCUUCAAGAAGGUCUGAUUGGUAUCCAGUCGGCAUGAUAUCACAUUCGUGGAGGCUCUAAAGGGCUUCACGAUUACGCCGACAAACGCAAUAAACGACUGUCAAAAUCAGUGAGAA